rnacentral:rRNA from 1 species
CAUCAUUUAAAGAAAGCGUAAUAGCUCACUAGUCGAGUCGGCCUGCGCGGAAGAUGUAACGGGGCUGAAAUAUAGCACCGAAGCUGCGGCAUCAGGCGUAUCACUAAUACGCCUUACGAUUAACAACCCGAACGUUGAGUCGGGCAUCUUAGAGUGAGGAUGAUUAGUGAUACGCCUGUUGGGUAGGGGAGCGUUGUGUAAGCGGAAGAAGGUUCAUCGAGAGGUGGGCUGGACGUAUCACAAGUGCGAAUGCUGACAUAAGUAACGAUAAAACGGGUGAAAAACCCGUUCGCCGGAAGACC